AACAGCUGCGUGAUGUUUGCCUAUCUACCAAUCUCGCUGUGUAAUUAGGCAACCUGUUACCUUUUUUUACUAUACAAUUCCCUUUUUCAUGCGACCUUUGUGAGAGAUGGCAACACCGAACAUGCAAUUCAGGUGUUUCCCAUGCCGAAUACAAACGAGCAUGUAAGGGAGAGCCGUUGCACUUCAUAUGCAGAGACUGUUUCACACCUGUACACCAGUCGACAGCAUUACACGAAAGCUCGUUAGUGCACAGCGACGUCGACGCAGAGAUGACAGAUGUUUCAGAUGUUUACUCGUCAGUGAACAGCGACGUCGACGCAGAGAUGACUAAUGUUCAAUCGUCAGUGAACAGCGACGUAGAUGAGGUUCCGGACACUUCUGUUCGCUUAUCACUGCCAUUUGUGCAACCAUCCAUUUAUGUAGAAGCGUCUCUACUUGAUCCCCCAGUACCGAGGGACCAUGUUGAGGACGUGGCAGUAACCUUCACGCUGAUACCCGUUGACUCACAGAAGGGGAAAGACCUCCUCAGAAUUCUUAUAUCUUUGUAACUAAUUCUUUCAAGUAUGGUUUAACGAAAUGUAUCAUGGUUUUAAUUUUGUUAUUUUAGAUACAGGGCCGGGACGCUGUCCACGAGUGGCCUCUUGAAGAGGUGCAGUACGUUCUACAGACCAGUGGUACCCAAGAGACCAGAGGAAGUUGAAAUGAAUGAGUGAUGAACUUAUUAAUGACUGAAAUCAAUCAAGAUAUUGAUUUAGAUGGGCGUUUUUGCGUUUGUUUUACAGUGUUGCUAGUGUGAUACACUGAAACAUUUUCCUUAUUUCUUGUCAAUUAUUAUGUUCGAACUCUUUUAGAAUGUAAUUGAUACAAAUAGA